UACGUAGGGGCAAGCGUUGUCCGGAAUCAUUGGGCGUAAAGAGCGUGUAGGCGGCCCAGGUAAGUCCGACUGUGAAAGUCCAGGGCUCGAACCCCUGGGAUGCCGGUGGAUACUGUCGGGCUCGAGUCCGGAAGAGGAGUGUGGAAUUCCUGGUGUAGCGGUGAAAUGCGCAGAUAAUCAGGAGGAACACCAAUGGCGAAGGCAGACACUCUGGGACGUGACUGACGCUGAGACGCGAAAGCGUGGGGAGCGAAACAGG
rnacentral:rRNA from 1 species